AGGAUGUGCAACAUUUCUUGAAACUACAAAACUGAUUCAUAUGCACGAGUAAUAUUCAGUAACAUGCACUAUGACUUGCCGCCUUGGUCGAUAGACAUUGCAGGGAUUGUGAAGGAAGUCUAUCGGAUUGGAGAGUACACAAAUCUGGGAAAAUGCUCACAUGGAUAACGAGUGUAUGGUCACAUCAUGGAAUAAAGUAGCAGUCGACUUUGACUCCAAAUUUAAAGAUCAUGAUACAAAUAAUGUUCUUAUGGUGGUGACUGAGGUUUUAGUAAAAAACUUUAGAGGUGACUGAGAAGGUCGUUAAGAAGAUCUCGGAGUAGGAAAUUUCCACGCCUAAAUAAUCCAAGACCCCAUUUAAGCCUGCAAUUGUUCUAUUUCAGGUUUUGCUCUUAUUUCUCUUCUUUUUACUGGCUUUGUUUCUUUUUCCCCCUAAUGAUAAAUAUACGAUAUUAUAAUGUUUGUCUUUGAGACACGAUAUAGUUAA